rnacentral:rRNA from 1 species
CCGACUGCUAUCGGAUGAUACUAAGCCAUGCGAGUCUUGCAGUAAUGCAAGGCAUACGGCUCAGUAACACGUAGUCAACCUACCCUAUGGACGAGAAUAAUCUCGGGAAACUGAGCAUAAUUCUUGAUAGAUCAUAAUGCCUGGAAUGGUUUAUGGUUAAAAUGAUUCGUCGCCAUAGGAUGGGACUGCGGCCUAUCAGCUUGUUGGUGAGGUAAUGGCCCACCAAGGCGAUUACAGGUACGGGCUCUGAGAGGAGAAGCCCGGAGAUGGGUACUGAGACACGGACCCAGGCCCUAUGGGGCGCAGCAGGCGAGAAAACUUUGCAAUGUGCGAAAGCACGACAAGGUUAAUCCGAGUGAUUUCUGCUAAAGAAAUCUUUUGCCAGUCAUAAAACCACUGGUGAAUAAGGGGUGGGCAAGUUCUGGUGUCAGCCGCCGCGGUAAAACCAGCACCUCAAGUGGUCAGGAUGAUUAUUGGGCCUAAAGCAUCCGUAGCCGGCUUUGUUAGUUUUCGGUUAAAUCCAUGUGCUCAACGCAUGGGCCGCCGAAAAUACUGCAUAGCUAGGGAGUGGGAGAGGUAGACGGUACUCAGUAGGAAGGGGUAAAAUCCUUUGAUCUAUUGAUGACCACCUGUGGCGAAGGCGGUCUACCAGAACACGUUCGACGGUGAGGGAUGAAAGCUGGGGGAGCAAACCGGAUUAGAUACCCGGGUAGUCCCAGCUGUAAACGAUGCAGACUCGAUGAUGCAUUGGCAUAAUAGCCAGUGCAGUGUCGCAGGGAAGCCGUUAAGUCUGCCGCCUGGGAAGUACGUACGCAAGUAUGAAACUUAAAGGAAUUGGCGGGGGAGCACCACAAGGGGUGAAGCCUGCGGUUCAAU